GCAAAUAUAGUUUAACAAAAACAUUAGGUUGUGGACCUAAAAACAGGGGUUAAAGUCCCCUUAUUCGCC
rnacentral:tRNA from 1 species